CCUACGGGAUGCAGCAGUGGGGAAUAUUGGACAAUGGGCGAAAGCCUGAUCCAGCCAUGCCGCGUGUGUGAAGAAGGCCUUCGGGUUGUAAAGCACUUUCAGUGGGGAAGAAAGCCUUGGGGCUAAUACCCUCGAGGAAGGACAUCACCCACAGAAGAAGCACCGGCUAACUCCGUGCCAGCAGCCGCGGUAAUACGGAGGGUGCGAGCGUUAAUCGGAAUUACUGGGCGGUAAGCGCGCGUAGGCGGUCUGAUAAGCCGGUUGUGAAAGCCCCGGGCUCAACCUGGGAACGGCAUCCGGAACUGUCAGGCUAGAGGGCAGGAGAGGAAGGUAGAAUUCCCGGUGUAGCGGGGAAAUGCGUAGAGAUCGGGAGGAAUACCAGUGGCGAAGGCGGCCUUCUGGACUGACACUGACGCUGAGGUGCGAAAGCGUGGGUAGCAAACAGGAUUAGAUACCCGAGUAGUC
rnacentral:rRNA from 1 species